rnacentral:rRNA from 1 species
UACGGAGGGUGCGAGCGUUAAUCGGAAUUACUGGGCGUAAAGCGUACGCAGGCGGCUGAGUAAGCCAGAUGUGAAAUCCCCGGGCUUAACCUGGGAAUGGCAUUUGGAACUGUUCAGCUAGAGUUUUGUAGAGGGUGGUAGAAUUUCAGGUGUAGCGGUGAAAUGCGUAGAGAUCUGAAGGAAUACCAGUGGCGAAGGCGGCCACCUGGACAAGAACUGACGCUCAUGUACGAAAGCGUGGGGAGCAAACAGG